rnacentral:rRNA from 1 species
GAUGAACGCUGACCGAAUGCUUAACACAUGCAAGUCAACUGUGGCGGACGGUUGAGUAACGCGUAAAGAACUUGCCUCACAGUUAGGGACAACAUUUGGAAACGAAUGCUAAUACCUGAUACUGUGAGAGAGCUUUGCGUCCCAUUAGCUAGUUGGAGAGGUAACGGCUCACCAAGGCGAUGAUGGAUAGCCGGCCUGAGAGGGUGGUCGGCCACAAGGGAACUGGGAAUCGGUACUAACCGCUACGGGAGGUAGAGGUGGGGAAUGUUGGACAAUGGAACAAAGGAUGAUCGAGGAAUUCUGGGUGGACGAUUAAGUUUUCGGAAGGUAAAGUGCUUUCAGUAGGGAAGCGGUAACAACAGCAGAAGUGACGGCUAAAUACGUGCCAGCAGCCGCGGUAAUUC